rnacentral:misc_RNA from 1 species
UUGAUUUCAAACGGGGGAGAGGGGGGAUAUGUUGCUGACCCAUUUCUUUGGGUAAAAUGUGCACUCUCCCCCUCACCUCACCUUUUACAUCCACCUGUGCACCUUUUUUUUGUNGGCGGGGGAUUUUUUUCUCGAAUCCCCUGCUUAUGAUUUUUCAUGACACUCUAAUCCUAUAUAUUAUAUGAUGGUGGGUCUGACUUGAUUUUAACACUCGAGUCGGAAAAAAAAUGUAUA